UGGGUUGGGGCUCGUUAGGAGGUGGCGCGUAUUUUUAGUUCAGCUUCCGUUGACUUCUUUAAAGGACUGGGAAUUCGGGGACUGACAAUUGUGCGUAAAGUGACCGAGAAUCAAUCACGGACGGAUUUGUCUCAAUGGACAUUGGGGAUGACUUUGGAUAUGUGCCCCGUGGCAGGGGCGACUUCCGAGGCCGAGGCAUGAUGCGUGGGCGCGGCAGGGGCGGCUACGAGCGCGGCGGGUUCCGCGGCGGCCCCGAGCUGGAGCGCGGC